GAUGAAGAACGCAGUGAAAUGCGAUAAGUAGUGUGAAUUGCAGAAUUCAGUGAAUCAUCGAAUCUUUGAACGCACAUUGCGCCCCUUGGUAUUCCAUGGGGCAUGCCUGUUCGAGCGUCAUUUGUACCUUCAAGCUUUGCUUGGUGUUGGGUGUUUGUCUCGCCUUUGCGUGUAGACUCGCCUUAAAAUAAUUGGCAGCCGGCGUAUUGAUUUCGGAGCGCAGUACAUCUCGCGCUUUGCACUCAUAACGACAGCGUCCAAAAGUACAUUUUACACUCUUGACCUCGGAUCAGGUAGGGAUACCCGCUGAACUUAAGCAUAUCAUAAGCGGAGGA
rnacentral:misc_RNA from 1 species